UGAUAGUCCUGUUCUGCUGGGAUCUGU
rnacentral:piRNA from 1 species